rnacentral:rRNA from 1 species
GAUGAACGCUGGCGGCGCGCCUAAUACAUGCAAGUCGAACGGAGAAAUCACUUCGGUGAUGGAUCAGUGGCGAACGGGUGAGUAACACAUGAACAACCUACCCUGAUGACUGGGAUAACGAUCUGAAAAGAUCGCCUAAUACCGGAUAGGUAGCGGAAGGGCAUCCUUCUUCUAUUAAAGUUGGGUCACAACACAACAGGAUGGGUUCAUGUCGCAUUAGUUAGUUGGUGAGGUAACGGCCCACCAAGACGAUGAUGCGUAGCCGAUCUGAGAGGAUGAACGGCCACAUUGGGACUGAGACACGGCCCAG